UACGGAGGAUCCAAGCGUUAUCCGGAUUUAUUGGGUUUAAAGGGUGCGUAGGCGGACCCUUAAGUCAGUGGUGAAAGUUUGCAGCUCAACUGUAAAAUUGCCAUUGAAACUGAGGGUCUUGAGUGUAAAUGAGGUAGGCGGAAUGUGUUGUGUAGCGGUGAAAUGCUUAGAUAUAACACAGAACACCAAUUGCGAAGGCAGCUUACUGGGAUACAACUGACGCUGAGGCACGAAAGCGUGGGGAUCAAACAGG
rnacentral:rRNA from 1 species